AACCCAUGGUUUGGACAUCUCUUGAGGCACACUUUGAAUCUUUCCCAAGCAUCAUAUAAGGUUUCACCAUCAGCUUGUUCGAAAUUACUUAUCUCCGCUCUCCUUUC